GAUUGUGUGGUGUAGUGGAUUGAGUGCUGGACUUCAGCUCUGGAGAUCAGGGUUCAGUUCCCUACUUGGCCA